rnacentral:rRNA from 1 species
AAGCGGCAAAGCUCAAAUUUGAAAUCUGGCUCUUUCAGAGUCCGAGUUGUAAUUUGAAGAAGGUAUCUUUGGGUCUGGCUCUUGUCUAUGUUUCUUGGAACAGAACGUCACAGAGGGUGAGAAUCCCGUGCGAUGAGAUGAUCCAGGCCUAUGUAAAGUUCCUUCGAAGAGUCGAGUUGUUUGGGAAUGCAGCUCUAAGUGGGUGGUAAAUUCCAUCUAAAGCUAAAUAUUGGCGAGAGACCGAUAGCGAACAAGUACAGUGAUGGAAAGAUGAAAAGAACUUUGAAAAGAGAGUGAAAAAGUACGUGAAAUUGUUGAAAGGGAAGGGCUUGAGAUCAGACUUGGUAUUUUGUAUGUUACUUCUUCGGGGGUGGCCUCUACAGUUUAUCGGGCCAGCAUCAGUUUGGGCGGUAGGAGAAUUGCGUUGGAAUGUGGCACGGCUUCGGUUGUGUGUUAUAGCCUUCGUCGAUACUGCCAGCCUAGACUGAGGACUGCGGUUUAUACCUAGGAUGUUGGCAUAAUGAUCUUAAGUCGCCCGUCUUGAAACACGGACCCA